rnacentral:rRNA from 1 species
AACGAACGCUGGCGGCAGGCCUAACACAUGCAAGUCGAGCGCACCUUCGGGUGAGCGGCGGACGGGUUAGUAACGCGUGGGAACGUGCCCUUCUCUACGGAAUAGCCUCUGGAAACGGAGAGUAAUACCGUAUACGCCCUUUGGGGGAAAGAUUUAUCGGAGAAGGAUCGGCCCGCGUUAGAUUAGGUAGUUGGUGGGGUAACGGCCUACCAAGCCUACGAUCUAUAGCUGGUUUUAGAGGAUGAUCAGCAACACUGGGACUGAGACACGGCCCAGACUCCUACGGGAGGCAGCAGUGGGGAAUCUUAGACGAAUGGGGGCAACCCUGAUCUAGCCGAUGCCGCGUGAGUGAUGAAGGCCUUAGGGUCGUAAAGCUCUUUCGCCUGUGAUGAUAAUGACGGUAGCGGGUAAAGAAACCCCGGCUAACUCCGUGCCGGCGA